CCUGCCUCCAUCUGUCUGCGAAGGUAUUCUGGCCCCUUGCUGAGGAGUCGCACCGUCAAAGGGAAGUCUGAGAUGGCGUGCAUUCUUACAGCAAGAGAGAUUUCAGUUGGCAUAUCAGUUUCAGAUCGACUAAAUGAGAAAAUCCAAUCACAAACAAAAGAUCCUGGGUUGGUGCAGCUACAGGAAAUUAUUAUCUUUAAGGAUAUUUGGUGUAAGUAAGUACUGCAACAAAGACAAAUGGGCAAAGAGUGAUGCUGGAAAAUAUACGGGGGCUCAUGUGAAAUCCAGUCAUGUCGAUUUCCUUUGUCAUGAUGCUCUAUUUGUGAAUCAAAAGUAUUGCAGACCUGUAUUUGUACCCCCUGUUCAUUGGUAUGCUACAUAUCACAUUGCUGCGAGCUGCUACAAGGCUACUGCUAUUUCUCGUGUAUCCUUCUUUCUAAAGAUUUUUAAAAUUGACUCUGCUCUCUCAUCUCUGGAAGAAUGACAAAUACUUUACCUUCCUCUACCCUUUGGAUUGCGUAUUCCUUGGGUGCAUAGCAGUGGCAAAAUAAACUCAAAAAACUACAGGUCCUAAUUCUUCUCUCACUUUCAUCAGUGUGAAUCAGUAGCACAAGAGAAGAGAAUCAGCAGUAAAUCUGUUUAAGUCUAGGACCCAGAUUCUGGGCUGUGUGUUAGCUACAUUUGAUGCGUCUCAGAAUGGGAGUGGUCACAAGCCACCUUUAUGCCCCAACUCUGAUGCAGGCACAGAGCUUGUCUCUGACCUAAAAUAGAGCAGCCUCAGGGCAAUUCUGCUUUUGCCCAGGCUGGCAAUCACCCCCAUAAGUUGUGCCAAUAGCUGAGGAUUGCUGAGGCACAGGGGGUCUUAACACCCUCUCCCAGACACAUCCUGUGUGUCACGGAUCUGGAGGAGGGCUGGCAUAAGAUCUGCUGUGAUGGUUCUAUACCACUUGCGUUCAACACCACUCCCCAGGCAUGGGGAAUACUCAGGGAUCAGUGCCACCAGCUUUUUGGAAGCUUUGCACCAACAACAGGAUCUGGUGCAGUGGAAUUACACUGGUGUAAAAGAGAAGAGACUUAGGAGAAAAGAUUUAGCUGAAAUUACACAUACAUCUGUUGCCAGGCAGCACAUCUUUAGCUCUUGCACAGUUUUUAGUGGAUGCCUAUGAGGAUCAGUAAAAUGAAAAAAAACCUCUUCAGAUCAGAACUGGAAAUGCAGGACUAUGGGAGGUACUUUGGUUCAUAUACGGUGGAAAGUAUGUGUCUCAAAUUAUGCAUGUUCUAAGAGGGGUCAAGGACAUAAUUCAUUCUGUUCUGUGAUCAGAAGUUUUAUCACACGAACAUUAGGCUUCAUUUUCUAACUCACAGACACCUCAAAGAUAAUCGUCACCAGCAAUGCAAUGUGCAGCCAUCCUCGAGCCAACUAAGUAGAAAAACUGGUAAGCUAUUACAUGUGUGGGGCCAGUUCGACCAUUUUUUCUAAUUAUAAUGAUAAACUCAAGGCCUAUGUAAACCUCUGCAAAUGACGCAAAGGAAAGACGCCAAGUUAUUAUUGUAAAAGUUAUUUCAACAAAACCCUUUGAUCUUAGUAGUGUAAAGGAAAAAGAAUUAAGUGGAUCUGCAGUAGCUGUAAAAUAUGUCAAGCACAUUCACUACCUCUAGUUCUGUGUUACUCUAUGCUGAUGU